AGCUUAUUACAACAUUAGCAUUGCAAGGAUGACUGAUGCCAAUUGUAGAAUCCUGACCUGGCUUUGUACAGUAGAGGCUCACCCAAGAUUGACUCGGGAGAUCUAAGUCAAGUUUUGCUUAAAAGAAGAUGUCCAAAUCCCCAUCAAUAUCCUCACUGGGAUGAAAGUGUGCCACUGCAAGCCCCAGGACCUCUCCUGUGUCGCACAGAGCCACCGAGUAGAGUUGUACAAGCAGCCACCCUGCUGAGUGACAUAUUCAGCCACCUUCAACCACUUAGCAGACAUCCUGGCCAUCAUUAAUUGAUCACCUGCUAUUUGCUAGGCAUUUUAAUAGGAACUUAAAGACAUAAUCAAAGUUAAUCUUUACCAAAAAUCAGUAUGAGACGGGAUUACCAGUUUCAUUUUAUAGAUGAAGAAAUCUUUUAUAUAUGAAUAUACUUGCUUAAGAUCAUACACUUAGGAUGUGGAAGAAUCCAAAUUCAAAUUCUUAUUUGUUUUCAAAACCAUUUUUUUUCCUAUUAAACUAUAUGGGUAGUUGGUGGGUUGGUUAGCACCUUGGGGGAGAAGGACCGGCUAUCCUAUCUUGCUUCCUCUUGGUUUAACAAUGCUAAAAGUUUUUCCUAUUUCCAAACAGCCUGAAUAAAAUGGUUCAGUUAGCAUAACAGAAUAGCACAAAGGUAAUCACAGUCUAAUCUAACGAUAUCAUGUUAGGGGAUAAGAGAUGAAGUUCACAGAGAGGAAGUGACUUGCCCUAGUUCACCCAGCUACUGAGAAGCAAAACUGGAAUUAGAACCCAAGAAUAUAUUUCUCUACAUGGCCUGAAGAAGUCUUGAGUUAGGUUUAAAUACUGAGGCAAACCUAGAACAGGGAGACUCAACAUCAUUGAGAAAACAGCUGUUGCCAGCUGCUCAGAUCUUUAAGAGUUUGGGAAAAGACUCAAAAGUUGGCAAGUAUUUUUAAAUUGAUUCUCACCUUUUCGUCCUGACAUAAAAUAUCCUACU
rnacentral:lncRNA from 1 species